UGAGGAAUAUUGGUCAAUGGACGAGAGUCUGAACCAGCCAAGUAGCGUGCAGGAUGACGGCCCUAUGGGUUGUAAACUGCUUUUGUUUGGGAAUAAUCGACAUUACGUGUAAUGUUUUGCAUGUACCAUUCGAAUAAGGACCGGCUAAUUCCGUGCCAGCAGCCGCGGUAAUACGGAAGGUCCAGGCGUUAUCCGGAUUUAUUGGGUUUAAAGGGAGUGUAGGCGGUUGGUUAAGCGUGUUGUGAAAUGUAGAUGCUCAACAUCUGACUUGCAGCGCGAACUGGCUGACUUGAGUACACACAACGUAGGCGGAAUUCAUGGUGUAGCGGUGAAAUGCUUAGAUAUUACGCAGAACUCCGAUUGCGAAGGCAGCUUACAAAACUACUACUGACACUGAGGCACGAAAGCGUGGGUAUCAAACAGG
rnacentral:rRNA from 1 species